rnacentral:rRNA from 1 species
UACGUAGGGGGCAAGCGUUGUCCGGAAUCAUUGGGCGUAAAGCGCGUGUAGGCGGUUCGGUAAGUCUGCUGUGAAAGUCCAGGGCUCAACCCUGGGAUGCCGGUGGAUACUGUCGGACUAGAGUACGGAAGAGGCGAGUGGAAUUCCCGGUGUAGCGGUGAAAUGCGCAGAUAUCGGGAGGAACACCAAUUGCGAAGGCAGCUCGCUGGGACGUUACUGACGCUGAGACGCGAAAAGCGUGGGGAGCAAACAGG